rnacentral:rRNA from 1 species
UAUAAGUCUCCUGAAGGAACGUUGAAGACGACGACGUUGAUAGGCCGGGUGUGUAAGCGCAGCGAUGCGUUGAGCUAACCGGUACUAAUGAACCGUGAGGCUUAACCUUA